UACAGAGGGUGCGAGCGUUGUCCGGAAUCACUGGGCGUAAAGGGCGCGUAGGUGGCGCUGCAAGUCGGUGGUGAAAGCUCGAUGCUUAACAUCGGGUCGGCCAUCGAAACUGCAGGGCUCGAGCACUGUAGGGGCAGAUGGAAUUCCGGGUGUAGCGGUGGAAUGCGUAGAGAUCCGGAAGAACACCGGUGGCGAAGGCGGUCUGCUGGGCAGUUGCUGACACUGAGGCGCGACAGCGUGGGGAGCAAACAGG
rnacentral:rRNA from 1 species